rnacentral:rRNA from 1 species
AUUUUUCGGCGAACGCUGGCGGCGUUGCCUAACACAUGAAGUCGAGCGAAGUGAUUUCGAAUGAAAUUUUCGGAUGGAUUUCGGAAUCAUCUUAGCGGCGGACGGGUGAGUAACGCGUGAGAAACCUGCCUUUCACAAAGGGAUAGCCUCGGGAAACUGGGAUUAAUACCUUAUGACACUUUAACCUCGCAUGGGGAAUAAGUUAAAGCGUAAAGCGGUGGAAGAUGGUCUCGCGUCCUAUUAGCUAGUUGGUGAGGUAACGGCUCACCAAGGCGACGAUAGGUAGCCGGCCUGAGAGGGUGAACGGCCACACUGGAACUGAGACACGGUCCAGACUCCUACGGGAGGCAGCAGUGGGGAAUAUUGGGCAAUGGGCGCAAGCCUGACCCAGCAACGCCGCGUGAAGGAAGAAGGCUUUCGGGUUGUAAACUUCUUUGAUCAGGGACGAAAAUGACGGUACCUGAAGAACAAGCCACGGCUAACUACGUGCCAGCAGCCGCGGUAAUACGUAGGUGGCAAGCGUUAUCCGGAUUUACUGGGUGUAAAGGG